rnacentral:lncRNA from 1 species
UCCCAAAAGCAACGGUUGAUCUUAAGACAAUUAAAUUUCACUUCCAUCACCGGGAGUGACUAGCAUCAAACUAAAGCAGAAGAUAAAACCAGAGAAUAGCUGAGAUGUGAUCAGUUACAUAUUCAGAUCUUAUCACUGUUAUUGCCACUUAAUCCAAUCCAUAGGGACAUCCCCAUAAUUCCUCUCACAGAGGUUGACCUCGUAGUAUGUAGCUUAAUGGUGGUCAUACUUGGUCUAUGCCCCCAACUUCAAAAUAUACAGAACAAAGUUAAUUUCAGAACACUCCCAAAUUCAAAGAUUCGUUGUUAGAUUAGUUCACUCAAAUUGUAUGCAUGAAGUUCUGCUGUUGUAUCCUGAUGC